UAAACAACUGUGCGAUAUGGAAAAUAGUACAUCUAUAUUAGUGUUUUUUGUUAAUGGUAAAAAGGUACGUACAAAAAAUUAUAAUUAUAAAUACUUUUAUACAGUGGACUACUCAAAAUUCUUUAUUACGGGGAGGGACAGGGCUAAAUAACUAAAUAACUUGAUAGACAAAAAAUGUUUUAAAAAUACAUAAUUAUGUAAUACAAUACA